UCCCUAAUCUAAUCCCUAAUCACCGCUCAAAAAUAAUCUAUCCCUAAUCAAGCAGACGAGCACGCCGCCACCGCCACUGCCGUCGCAUCUUUGGCCGGCCUGCCCAGACUUGACAUGGCGUCGUCGGACGCCGCUGCCUUCUGAAGCCGCCGUGGGACGCUGCCGUCCUCUGAAACCGCCGUUCGACGCCUCUGUCCUCUGAAGCCGCCGUCCGACGCCUCCGUCCUCUACGCCCCUCUGAAGCCGCCUUUCUGACGCCUCCGACCUCUACGCCCCUCCAACACGAUCGAAUCCCUCCGCAGUUACACCCCUCUCCACUGCUGAUGACACCUUCACGGCUGCACCUGCAGUCCUGCACUACUGCACAUACAGAGUCUGGCCGUAGUGUUAGUGCACUGCCAACCUGCAAUGGAUGAUUUUUUUACAGCAAGUAGCAGUGCAAGUGUAAGCGCAACAUCUCCGAUUGUGCUUGAAUCAUCAUCGGAGCAGCCUCCCAAUGCUACUAAUACAAGUGCAGCAGCUGCAAGUUCGGAUACGGCCAAUGGAACUGAAGAUGCAGCCCCUGAUGUGAAGAGAUGUAAGAAGCUCACCUCUGAUGUUUGGGAACAUUUCACCAAGUAUGAGAUAACGACGACGGAUAAGGAUGGUAACAAGGUUGUAGAGAAAUGGGCUAGAUGCAAUAGCAAAGGGUGCACUUACAAGGGCCCUCGUACUAAUGCUCGAGGCAAUCGAGGCACAACAGUUUUCAAGUCUCAUUUGCAGAACAAGCAUCAGAUCAUUACUGGACUUGUACUGAAUAAAGUUGAAGGCAAUGAGUCCAUGGUAGCACCUGCGACCUUUAGGUAUGACGAGUCUACCAGUUUGAAGAAGUUUUAUCUCUCAAUUAUAAUGCAUGAGUACCCCUUCAAUAUUGUUGACCACGAGUACUUGGUGGACUUUAUCCAUUCUUUGCGUCCAACUUUUCCAAUUAAAAGUCGCCCUACUGUGAAGAAAGACAUAGUCAACAUAUUUAGAGAGGAAAAGAAGAAAUUGUAUGAGUACUUCAAAACAGUGCAGUGCCGAUUUAGUGCCACCGUGGACAUGUGGACAUCUGGACAAACCAAAGGAUACAUGGGCAUCACUGUUCAUUGGAUAGAUGAAAAUUGGUGCAUGCAAAAGAGGAUUAUCAAGUUUAAUCAUGUACAGGGAAACCAUUCAGGAAAAAAAUCUUGGCUUACACUUUUAUGAUUGCAUAGUGGAAUGGAAUCUUGACAGGAAAUUGCUUUCACUCAGUUUGGACAAUGCUUCAGCCAAUGAUAAGUGUGUUGAGGGGCUACUAACCAAAUUCAGUAAGAAUAGUCUAAUCUGUGAUGGCAUAUUUUUUCAUGUAAGAUGUUUCAAUCACAUCCUAAACCUGGUCGCUCAAGAUGGUUUGAAGACAAUUGCAGCAUCUAAUGCAAAUAUUAGAAAUACCAUAUCAAUUGUGAGGAAUUCUCCACAGCAGAAGGAAGAGUUUGAGAAGUGUGCUUCAGAAUGUGACUUAAAUCCAAAAUCUGAACUGAUCUUGGAUGUUCCUACCCGGUGGAAUUCCACGUAUGAUAUGCUGCAGAAGGCACUUUACUUUAGAGAUGCUUUCGAUAGGCUUUUUCUUCGGCAUAAAAAGAAGUAUAAGAAGUGUGCUCCAACUUCGAAGAAUUGGAUUAUGGCAUUGAAGAUAUGUGAUCACCUGAAGAUUUUCAAGGAUGCUACUGUGCUGUUCUCUGGAACUACAUAUCCAACUGCAAAUAAGUUUUUUAUCACCUUUUGCAAGUUUAAGAUUGCAAUUGAUGGCUGGUGUGCUAGCUCUGACAAAGUAAUUAAGUCUAUGGCACGUUCCAUGAAACUUAAUAUGAUAAGUAUUGGGAGAAGUCCAACAUGGCACUUUCCGUGGCAGUCUUCUUUGAUCCUAGAUACAAGAGAAACGUGAUAGAAUACUAUGCACCAACCAUUUACCCCACCACCCAUGACCAACAGAUUGAGAAGUUUACAAAAGUUAUUACCCAGUUGUUUGAAGCUUACGUCUCUACAUCAAAGAAGACAACCUGUAACAGUAGUGAUACUAAUAUGUGUGAAACACCUUCUGUUGAUCUUGAUCUAGAUGAUGGUUUAGACUCGUUCUUGAGUAGCAGAAGUCAAAAAUCAGACCGUGUUCUCAAAACUGAGUUGGAAGUAUACAUGGAGCAAGAGUUACAAUCUAGAAAAGAUUCGAAUUUUGAUAUACUAUCAUGAUGGAAGGUCAAUCAAGUUGAGUUUCCUAUUCUGUCACGACUUGCUCGAGAUAUCUUAUCUAUGCAAGUGUCCACGGUUGCCUCGGAGUCGGCAUUCAGUGCUGGUGGGCAGGUUGUUGACCCAUUUCGUGGUCGUCUUGAACCUGAAACCGUUGAAGCUUUAAUUUGUACUAAAAAUUGGAUUGGUGCAUCAAAAGGUAGUGACAUUGCAUCUAUUGUCAAAGACAUGGACAUGCCAAGCUUGGAGGAACGUUUUACAACUUUGGUGCACAUGUUGGAGGAGCCACAAGAGGAUGAUAGUUGUGAUGACCUGGAGGACUUCAUGGAUGAGGAAAUGGAGGAUUGAAUGUUGUAGUGCUGGAAUGGAACUGUUAGUUACUAUAUUUAAAGUUUCAAAUAUUUGCAUCAUGG